ensembl:lncRNA
CUCAGCCAAUGGGAGCCGGCGGAGCUGCCGCUGACCAAUGAGAGGCCGGGGGAGGGACAGAUGCUGCCGCUGACCAAUGAGACGCCGGGGGAGGGACAGAUGCUGCCGCUGACCAAUGAGACCCCGGGGGAGGGGCAGAUGCUGCUCACGGGGAGCUCCUCCUGCCCCAGCUGGGUGGUGAUGCUGACAGCAGGGCUGGAGAUGCUCUGCAGGACCGGCUCGUAGCUGGCAGCCACCAAUGGACACGGAGGGAGGAGACAGCUGGCGGGAGCAGCCGAGGCAUCCGAGAGCAUCCAAAAGCCCUCACUCAAAAGCAUCACACAGCCACAGCCAGGAAGCUUGGCAUAACCAUGAGCAGCAGCCAGGAAGCUCGAGAUGAUUUGCUACCAUACACAAUGGGAGCAGAGCUC